UUCCCUCCUCUGCCAUCGUCUCCUCGUCGCGGAGGUCCUCACCGCGCCGAUUGUCACGAGAGCAUCGCCGGCAGCAGUCCUUCUCUCCGCGAGCCUCACCAACACCAAGCUCUCUGGGCUAUCAAGCGGCCCGAUCCUCUUCUACAUUUUCCCCUUGCAUCUCUGCCCUAGAUGCAGCCGGCGUCAUCGCAUCCGACCACAAUACCUGCAAUUUGGGUGGCUAGCGUCGCCACCAUCUCUUUCACCGGCUGCCACUUCUUCCUCUUCCAUCUGCCACCGUCGGAGAGCUGAGUACACAGGAGAGUAGGGUUGUUCUUCCGCGUAUCAGCAGUUGCAAGGGGUUACCACGCGUUGCCCCCUUCAAUUGUGUCGUGGCCAUCUGGUCAGCCACAAGGAGAUCCAUUGCUGCGGUGACCCCAUUUGUGCUUGGAUUUGUGCCAAUGUUGUGUAUCAGUGAAUUCUGAGGCAGUGAGGGUUGUUGGACAGAUUUACCAUCGUCGGAAGAGCCACAAACUGCUGAUAAGGAUUUUCUCAACAAAAUUGGUUGGUUCAUUAAUCUGUACAAGAGAAGCAAUUUAUCUCAUGAAAUUC